GAUUGUCUGUAUAACAAAUAUUCUUAUUAUAUUGUCUUUUGCAGAUAUUGAAUGACAAGAAGUUCCUUACGGACUUUGAGUUAGAGAUAUAUGAGGGAUGGAUUACUUUUGAGGGAUAUCGCCCUGAAUGGCGCUAUAGGCCAGAAACUUACUUGUGCGAUUUGGAGACAAUAGUAGAGGAGGAAAAAGAAGAGGACAAUGGUAUUAAAGAUACAGAGGAUGGAGAGAUGUUGAAUGACGCUCUGUUAUAUGAUGACAAGAUGUUCCUUAUGGACUUUAAGUUAGAGAUAAUUGGGGGUUUGAUGGAGUUUGAAGAUUAUUUCCAUGACUGGCAAUAUAGGCCGAGAAUAUAUCUUUGUAGCAUGGACACAAUAGCAGAGGAGGAG